rnacentral:rRNA from 1 species
UACGGAGGGUGCAAGCGUUAUCCGGAUUCACUGGGUUUAAAGGGUGCGUAGGUGGGCUGGUAAGUCAGUGGUGAAAUCUCCGGGCUUAACUCGGAAACUGCCGUUGAUACUAUCAGUCUUGAAUAUUGUGGAGGUAAGCGGAAUAUGUCAUGUAGCGGUGAAAUGCUUAGAUAUGACAUAGAACACCGAUAGCGAAGGCAGCUUGCUACACAAUUAUUGACACUGAGGCUCGAAAGCGUGGGGAUCAAACAGG